rnacentral:rRNA from 1 species
GAUGAACGCUGGCGGCGUGCUUAACACAUGCAAGUCGAACGAAGCACUUUUGAUUGAUUUCUUCGGAAAGAGAGAGACUGUGACUGAGUGGCGGACGGGUGAGUAACGCGUGGGUAACCUGCCUCAUACAGGGGGAUAACAGUUAGAAAUGACUGCUAAUACCGCAUAAGCACACAGCUUCGCAUGAAGCAGUGUGAAAAACUCCGGUGGUAUGAGAUGGACCCGCGUCUGAUUAGGUAGUUGGUGGGGUAACGGCCCACCAAGCCGACGAUCAGUAGCCGACCUGAGAGGGUGACCGGCCACAUUGGGACUGAGACACGGCCCAAACUCCUACGGGAGGCAGCAGUGGGGAAUAUUGCACAAUGGGGGAAACCCUGAUGCAGCGACGCCGCGUGAAGGAUGAAGUAUUUCGGUAUGUAAACUUCUAUCAGCAGGGAAGAAAAUGACGG